ensembl:lncRNA
UCAUAGUGCAGCAGUAAAAAUAAUUAACAUAAAUCCAUGUUUCUUUAUGCAAACUUUAACAAAAAAAUCUUAAACUGCAAAAACAGUACAUUACAUUUUAGAAAUAUUGUUUUAUCAAACAUGGACACGUCCGUUUGCAUGCAAACUCUCUCUGCGAUGGGGCAAGGGGCUUGACAUCAAGAUGGAGAUAUGAAAUAUUCACAAGACCUAGUAGGCUACAACAGGAAACAGGGAGGGCUCUCUCACAAUAAAACCACUUCUAAACUUCCACUUUCCACUGAUUCUACCACAUGAUGAGGUCAGUAGUUUAUUAGUUGUCCUGUACCCUGUCUUUGGUGUGUCUUUCUGUUCACUUCCUGUUGCUUUACACCAUGCAUGCAGCCUAAAGUUGGUCUCAGCAUUCACCCCGUGCUUUGCAGAGUCACACUGAACAUGCAAAACUCCAAUACAACAAGAGCUGCUUCAGUCUGCUGUCCAUCAGUCUUCUUCUGUCUAGCAGCUGUCUGGAAGAUGCUGACUACUGUCUUUGCCUGUGGGGGUAUGUUUUUUUAUUAUUAUUAUUAUUAUUAUUUAUUUAUUUAUUUUUAAGAACGUGGUGUUAAUAUAUCAACGCACUUGUAAUUUAAUGGUCAAAAAAUAGUUUUGUAUAAUUUGUUUCUGAAUGAUAAUACACUGUGUAAUUUUCAACUGUUUAAAAAAUUUACAGCCAGUGGGUACAUAGAAAUGGAGAAUCACUCUGUGGAUUUGCCUCUCUCUGUUGAGGAGACCAAACCAGAUCCAGUCCAGAGUUCAGUGCGUCCAUUCACUCACUGAGGAUGAUGAGGAUGAUGAAGAGGAGCAGCGAGAAGGGCCAAGAGAUAAAAUGAUGCUGGAAACUCACAUUUUUAAAAAGAUCACUUAUUAAAAGAAUGAUUACAAAACGACUUCAUUCUUUUUCAACAUUUCCAUGCAUGCCUUUUAAGUUUCACUCUUUAGAUCAGGUUUAGAUCGAGUGAAAUGUAACACUAAUAAUAAAGAGAAUAGACAAUAGUUGAAAUAUUAAUAA